AUUGAACGCUGGCGGCAGGCUUAACACAUGCAAGUCGAGCGAGCGGCGGACGGGUGAGUAAUGUCUGGGAAACUGCCUGAUGGAGGGGGAUAACUACUGGAAACGGUAGCUAAUACCGACUAACAUACGAUGUGCCCAGAUGGGAUUAGGUAGUAGGUGGGGUAAUGGCUCACCUAGGCGACGCUCCCUAGCUGGUAUGAGAGGAUGACCAGCCAAACGGGAACUGAGACACUGUCCAGACUCCUACGGGAGGCAGCAGUGGGGAAUAUUGCACAAUGGGCGCAAGCCUGAUGCAGCCAUGCCGCGUGUGUGAAGAAGGCCUUCGGGUUGGAAAGCACUUUCAGCGAGGAGGCGUUACUCGCAGAAGAAGCACCGGCUAACUCCGUGCCAGCAGCCGCGGUAAUAC
rnacentral:rRNA from 1 species